rnacentral:lncRNA from 1 species
ACCCAGGCUGGGAGAGCUGGGGGUGCUCACCUGGAGAGGAGAAGCUCCAGGGACACCUCAGAGCCCCUGCCAGGGCCUGAAGGGGCUCCAGGAGAGCUGCAGAGGGACUGGGGACAAGGGAUGGAGGGACAGGACACAGGGAAUGGCUCCCACUGCCAGGGGGCAGGGAUGGAUGGGAUAUUGGGAAUUGGGAAUUGUUCCCUGUGAGGGUGGGCAGGCCCUGGCACAGGGUGCCCAGAGCAGCUGUGGCUGCCCCUGGAUCCCUGGCAGUGCCCAAGGCCAGGCUGGACAGGGCUUGCAGCACCCUGGGAUGGUGGAAUGUCCAUUGGAAUGGCACUGGAUGGGCUUUCAGGUCCCUUCCAACCCAAACCAUUCAAUGAUUCCAUGAAUUUAGGGUUGGGGCUGCACCCCUCAGGCAUGGCCUGUGCCAGCUCUGGUUCUCCUGCCUUUGUGCCAUGGGCUGUGCUCUUCCUGCAGGCAUCAAGGUCAUCGGUGGCAUCAAGGAGCUCACUGGAGAAGAAUAUGGAGUUUAUGUCAAGAGGAUCCUUCCAGGGGGUGUUGCUUAUGCAGAUGGCCGCCUGCAGCCAGGGGACCAGAUCCUGGAGGUCAAUGGAGAGUCCUUAAUUGGGGUUACCAGUGAAAGGGCCGUGGACAUCCUGAGGACGGCGUCAGCCACCAGCCACAUGCGGCUCCUGAUCGCCCGCGAUGACGACGCCAGGAGAGAGUUCUCUGAGCUGCUGGAGAAGUUUGGCUCCCAGAGCAACACGGGCUCGGCGCGGAGCUCGCCGGUCCUGCACGGCGGCAGUCGGUACCUGGAGAGCACCUCGUCGGGCUCGUCGUCGCGCUCGCAGAGCCCGCUGCUGCUGAGCCCGGCCACCUCGCACGGCCCCUUCCUGGGCAGCCUGGCGCACGCUCCUCACGCACAGUACGUACACAGCCCCCCAACCCGGGCAGCAGGACACCAGCAAAUGGCAGAGGAUACACCCAGUACAGAAUUCCAGGGCUUGUUGAACAGUUUUGUUCAUCUUUAUCACCUCUCUACUCUUCUAUCGCCAGAACGGUUCAGGGGCCACAGCAUCUUCUGGGUGUGGUGGUGGCAUCUU